rnacentral:lncRNA from 1 species
UUGAAUCGACAUUUUGAGGAAAAUCGCUGAUAAUUAAAAAGUAAACACUACAAUACAAAGUAAAGAAAUUCUAUUGUUCCGUGUCUACUUAUUUUUCGCCUCUUCUACCUACAUGGACAUUGUUUGUAGCAAAGAAUCGCUGGUGCCGACGCAAAUAAAUCGCCGAUAUAGCAGAUUUCUCAAAGAGUUUUCCGAUAUAGAUAUGCACCGUGGUGUUACCAAAUUACGUAUUUUGCUGAUACUUAAUCUUACUUGAGUGAUUAAAGCACUACGCACAGCAAUGUCUGCCUGAAAUUAGACCAGAGCUAGCAUAGAAGUGAUUUUUUUUUUGAAAACCCCAUUUGUAUAUUAAUUUCGGAAUAUUUUCAGUUUGGAAAUUUGAAAUAGCUGUCAUGUUGAAUAAUAACUUUUUACAGAUUUUAUUGUAAUAGUGCAUUUGCUUACCUUUUGUUUUUCCGCGUGUGGAACUUUCUUGAAAAGUUUAAAUGCAACGGUUUAAUCAUUUCUACCUCACUGGCAACGAAUAGGACUGUCAGUAUGCAAAUCGCCAAGAAAUGAAACAAAAAUCAUAGAGUAAGCCGGCAAAGGUGUCUGAAUUCUUAGUUAAUUAACAUUUAUUUUAUUUUCUGUAUUGCAAACAUGAGGGUACUGUAUCUUUAUAAAGGAUUAAAAGUUCUUAAGAUUUUCCAUAGGAUGCAACAGUGCAUGCAGUGAGCUCAGUCAGUACAGCCCCAUUCCGAAAUCCAGGAUUUCACAUACACAUGUUUCUCCGUUUAGGGCAACAAGAUAAACAGAGUACCAAGAAAAACAACAUUUAUUAGGAACCGAUGAAACAGGUCAGAAGACAAACAUCAUAAUAGUCAGUCGUGGUGAAGUUAUAGAACUAUGAAGUCCUUCGACUGUUCCGCCGUACACAAUCUAAAAGGAAAACUUAGCGUCUAACUGUAUAAGGGCUGAAUACUAAAUAUGCAACUAGAGGUGCACACUUUGUUCCCUUUGGAAUAACAUACCAGUGACUUGUUCAAUAAUAAGGAAGGGCUUUACAAACUUCGUCACAGGUCCAAAUAGUAUAAUUUUUUUACAAUACGACUGAUAAAAAUAUUUUAAUUGAAAUUUCAAACGAACAAAGUAGCAUUUCCCUGGCAAAAGUCUUUUAAUUAGGUGUCUUAAAGUAAACUUAGGUUUAGGUGGAAGUAGAAGCUGUCAUUAUUAAAGAUAUUACGUUUCCAAGACGACAAUGCAUUGGGAUCAGCAUUUUCACGUCAGCACCAUUUAAAAGAAACAAGUUUCAAUAGAUUCUGCAAUCUGAUCAUGACAUGCAUUAAAAUCAAUACUUGAAGGAAUUCUGUAUUUAGAGUAAGAAUAAAUGACGAAUAAACGAUUUCAUUUAUGAUAUCAAAAUUACCAGUGAUGACAUGACCUGCCCCUGAUUAGCAAAAUUUUGACUUUAUAUAUUUACUGGAAGUUGGAGUAUUUGUAUGUACAGCUUUAGGUCUGAAACAAUUUUAUUGUAACUGAAUAUGAUAUUCCUUACAGGAGUGUUAUAUCUAUAACAGAUAAUCAGAACUUCAGUGUAAUUGAAAUAUGUAGCCACAGAAUCAACGACACGUUUAUCCCGAAAUAUACACGGUGUAUCGAUGAAGUUAAUACCUUCAUCAUAAAACAUAUCUCAAGGAAGUGUCUGUCAUGGUCAGAUUGAGUGUCAAUAUGUGGACGAAGAAUACUUAAUAUGUUGUGUAUAACUUUGAAUAAGGUAUCAUGAUAUAGUGAAGAAAGGAUUUAUUUGAAUAAAGCACUGGUCUCAUUCCUAAUCUAAUCCUUUUAAGGACUCUGAACAGAUAAAGAGAAAUCCUUGAGUGUCUACCAGAGUUUGAAAGAAUUAAAUCAAUGUCUUUCGCAUAAUAUCACUAUGCGUCUUAUUCCAUGAGAUAUAGAAUUACGUUUCCUAAUGUUUAAGUAGAAAAAAUAUCAAUAUCAGGGUUUUUAAAAUUA